UACGGGGGGGCAAGCGUUGUUCGGAAUUACUGGGCGUAAAGGGCUCGUAAGUGGCCAACUAAGUCAGACGUGAAAUCCCCAGGCUCAACUUGGGAACUGCGUCUGAUACUGGAUGGCUUGAAUUCGGGAGAGGAUGCAGAAUUCCAGGUGUAGCGGUGAAAUGCGUAGAUAUCGGGAGGAACACCAGUGGCGAAGGCGACUACCUGGCCUGUUCUUGACGCUGAGGCGCGAAGCUAGGGAGCAACGGG
rnacentral:rRNA from 1 species